GAUCCUGGCUCAGGAUGAACGCUAGCUACAGGCUUAACACAUGCAAGUCGAGGGGAAACGAUAUUGGAAGCUUGCUUCCGAUAGGCGUCGACCGGCGCACGGGUGAGUAACGCGUAUCCAACCUGCCCAGUCACUUGGGAAUAACCUUGCGAAAGUAAGACUAAUGCCCAAUGACAUUUAUAGAAGGCAAUCUGAAAUGAAUUAAAGAUUUAUCGGUGAUGGAUGGGGAUGCGU
rnacentral:rRNA from 1 species